rnacentral:tRNA from 1 species
AAAGAAUUAGUUAAAUUAUAACAUAAAUAUGUCAAAUUUAAAUUAUUGAUUCUAUCAAUAUUCUUUU